UACGGAGGGUCCAAGCGUUAUCCGGAUUUAUUGGGUUUAAAGGGUGCGUAGGCGGUUCAGUAAGUUAGAGGUGAAAUCCCGUGGCUCAACCACGGACCUGCCUCUGAUACUGCUGGGCUAGAGAUUGGUUGCUGUGGGCGGAAUGUGUGGUGUAGCGGUGAAAUGCGUAGAUAUUAGGAGGAAUACCAGUUGCGAAGGCGGCUCUCUGGACUGUAACUGACACUGAGGCACGAAAGCGUGGGGAGCAAACAGGAUUAGAUACCCCCGUAGU
rnacentral:rRNA from 1 species